rfam:Triticum aestivum genome assembly, contig: Triticum_aestivum_CS42_TGACv1_scaffold_031041_1BL
GUAGUACUCCCUCCAUCCCAAAAUUCUUGUCUUAGAUUUGUCUACAUACGGAUGUAUCUAACACUAAAACGUGGCUAGAUACAUUGGUAUGUAGAUAAAUGUAAGACAAGAAUUUUGGGACGGAGGGAGUAGUAU